CACCCACCCUGCUGGGCUAUUGGAAAGUUGUGUUGGGUAAAGGCAGAGAGAGGAAGUACAUGGGGUAGCCAUGUUAAAGGAACCUAAUAACAGAACCUUUAGUUUAUGCCCAGAGUGGCCUCAACGUUAAAAUCCUCCUGUUUCAGCCUGCUACUGCUGGGAUUACAAGUGUGUAACACCAUUUCCGGGUCAGUACCAGCUGGCCUCUACAGGUGCAUCUCUUGAACGGCUCUGGAUCCUGCACCUCGACAAUCCACAUUAACCCUCACACGAGAUGUGAUCUGUGUUUCGCUGUGGCACUGAUCCCCGACUGCAAUCGAGUGUGCCUCUCACAGACUGAACUCCACAAGAACUCCAUGAACUCCAACUCAUUCUUUCCCUUCAUGGACACAGAAUUUUGCAGUGCGGCCCCUGGAGAGGAUUCUACACAAGGGAGAUGCAAGAACUAGCUAUAAGUUAUUGACAGACGGCCGUACGGAAGAACCUAUUUGCUCUGAGAACCACUGAGACUGUCUAGACUGGAAUGUUUCCACUGGUGUCAGCUGAACAUGGUGGCCUCUAACCCCUGCUUUGAUGAGGGAGAUCUCUGAGUUCCAGGCCAGCCUGGUCUACACGGUGAGACUGUCUUAAAAGAGACAGACAGACAGACAAGAGCAAAGCAAAAACUUAUAAAAAAAAACCCAAAUCAACUGAUUGAUAUUAAGUUUUUUGCAGGUAAGCAGUCAGCAAUUGAGCGGGCUGUCCCAGCACCGCUGGUGUUCACUAUGCAGAGACAUAGGGACUGCCUACUGACCUUGGCCUUGGAUUCAGAUGUACCUGUAUUUUAACACCAGUUUCACUAUUUAUUACGUGUGUGAUCUAGAGCAAAUACAUUUUCUGCCUCUUAAAAUGGGAGAUAGAAAGCUAGGUGGUGAUAGUACAUACCUUGAAUCCUAGCACUCGAGAGGAAGAAGCAAGUGGAUCUUGAUGAGUUCAAGGCUAGCCUGGUCUACAGAGUGAGUUCCAGGGCAGCCAGGACUACACAGAAAACCAUGUUUCAAACAUCAUCAUCAUCAUCAUCAUCAUCAUAAUCAUCAUCAUCAUCAUCAUCUAAUGGUAUAUUAUGACUUAUUAUUAUUGUUAAAAUAAAUAAAAAUAAGAGGUAGAGACUAGAAAAA